GGCCUCCUGGUGCUUACCACAGGCUAUGUUCUUACACUGACUGACUGCAUAGAUAAGGAGGAAGUAAAGUAAACCUACCCCAUAUACACUUCAACACAGGCCCUGUGCCUGGUCUGUAUUGUGAACGGGAAGACAAGG
rnacentral:snoRNA from 1 species